GGUCUCAGGCAGCUUUGCUGGGAGUGUCCACAUCACCCUGACCCCCGUGAGGCCUGACAGGACCCCGCACCCAGCCAGCCCAGGACCCAGCCUCCCAGCUAGGGGCAGCUGGUGACCGUGUGGUCAUGGUGGGGACCAGCCGUCCGGGGCGGGUUGUCACGUGGGAGGGCACAGGGCUUCCUGCAGGCUUGAAGGCCCAGGGUGGACUGUGGCCGGUGGAAGGGAAGGAUGUUUCUGGCAGGGGGACUUGUGUGGGCCACGGCCGUGCGGCUGCGGUGAUGAGCGUGGCCUCACUGUCCACCUGUCCCCUAGGCCUCCAGAGGAAGAAGUCCAAGUUCCGCUUGUCCAAGAUCUGGUCACCAAAAAGCAAAAGCAAAAGCAGCCCCUCCCAGUAGUAGCCAGUGGGGCCAUGGGCUCAGCCUGGACCCGGCAUCCGGACUUGGACCUGGGGACGUGGGCUCGGCCUGGACCCAGCAUCUGGACUUGGACUCAGGAAGGGCCUCCUGUCCCUACAAGGGGCAUGUGGACAGCAGGGACCUGCGCUACCGUCUGGCCUCAAUAAAGAAACGGACCACACGGCCCCGGU
rnacentral:sRNA from 1 species